rnacentral:rRNA from 1 species
GGGUUGUGAGGUUAAGCGACUAAGCGUACACGGUGGAUGCCCUGGCAGUCAGAGGCGAUGAAGGACGUGCUAAUCUGCGAAAAGCGUCGGUAAGGUGAUAUGAACCGUUAUAACCGGCGAUGUCCGAAUGGGGAAACCCAGUGCAAUUCGUUGCACUAUCGUUAACUGAAUACAUAGGUUAACGAGGCGAACCGGGGGAACUGAAACAUCUAAGUACCCCGAGGAAAAGAAAUCAACCGAGAUUCCCCCAGUAGCGGCGAGCGAACGGGGAGCAGCCCAGAGUCUGAAUCAGCUUGUGUGUUAGUGGAACGGUCUGGAAAGUCCGACGGUACAGGGUGAUAGUCCCGUACACCAAAAUGCACAGGUUGUGAACUCGAAGAGUAGGGCGGGACACGUGGUAUCCUGUCUGAAUAUGGGGGGACCAUCCUCCAAGGCUAAAUACUCCUGACUGACCGAUAGUGAACCAGUACCGUGAGGGAAAGGCGAAAAGAACCCCGGCGAGGGGAGUGAAAAAGAACCUGAAACCGUGUACGUACAAGCAGUGGGAGCACCUUCGGGUGUGACUGCGUACCUUUUGUAUAAUGGGUCAGCGACUUAUAUUCUGUAGCAAGGUUAACCGUAUAGGGGAGCCGCAGGGAAACCGAGUCUUAACUGGGCGUUAAGUUGCAGGGUAUAGACCCGAAACCCGGUGAUCUAGCCAUGGGCAGGUUGAAGGUUGGGUAACACUAACUGGAGGACCGAACCGACUAAUGUUGAAAAAUUAGCGGAUGACUUGUGGCUGGGGGUGAAAGGCCAAUCAAACCGGGAGAUAGCUGGUUCUCCCCGAAAGCUAUUUAGGUAGCGCCUCGUGAAUUCAUCUUCGGGGGUAGAGCACUGUUUCGGCUAGGGGGUCAUCCCGACUUACCAACCCGAUGCAAACUACGAAUACCGAAGAAUGUUAUCACGGGAGACACACGGCGGGUGCUAACGUCCGUCGUGAAGAGGGAAACAACCCAGACCGCCAGCUAAGGUCCCAAAGUCAUGGUUAAGUGGGAAACGAUGUGGGAAGGCACAGACAGCCAGGAUGUUGGCUUAGAAGCAGCCAUCAUUUAAAGAAAGCGUAAUAGCUCACUGGUCGAGUCGGCCUGCGCGGAAGAUGUAACGGGGCUAAACCAUGCACCGAAGCUGCGGCAGCGACACUAUGUGUUGUUGGGUAGGGGAGCGUUCUGUAAGCCUGCGAAGGUGUGCUGUGAGGCAUGCUGGAGGUAUCAGAAGUGCGAAUGCUGACAUAAGUAACGAUAAAGCGGGUGAAAAGCCCGCUCGCCGGAAGACCAAGGGUUCCUGUCCAACGUUAAUCGGGGCAGGGUGAGUCGACCCCUAAGGCGAGGCCGAAAGGCGUAGUCGAUGGGAAACAGGUUAAUAUUCCUGUACUUGGUGUUACUGCGAAGGGGGGACGGAGAAGGCUAUGUUAGCCGGGCGACGGUUGUCCCGGUUUAAGCAUGUAGGCUGAUUGUCCAGGCAAAUCCGGAUAAUCAAGGCUGAGGUGUGAUGACGAGGCACUACGGUGCUGAAGUAACAAAUGCCCUGCUUCCAGGAAAAGCCUCUAAGCAUCAGGUAACAUCAAAUCGUACCCCAAACCGACACAGGUGGUCAGGUAGAGAAUACCAAGGCGCUUGAGAGAACUCGGGUGAAGGAACUAGGCAAAAUGGUGCCGUAACUUCGGGAGAAGGCACGCUGGUGUGUAGGUGAAGUCCCUGCGGAUGGAGCUGAGACCAGUCGAAGAUACCAGCUGGCUGCAACUGUUUAUUAAAAACACAGCACUGUGCAAACACGAAAGUGGACGUAUACGGUGUGACGCCUGCCCGGUGCCGGAAGGUUAAUUGAUGGGGUUAUCCGUAAGGAGAAGCUCUUGAUCGAAGCCCCGGUAAACGGCGGCCGUAACUAUAACGGUCCUAAGGUAGCGAAAUUCCUUGUCGGGUAAGUUCCGACCUGCACGAAUGGCGUAAUGAUGGCCAGGCUGUCUCCACCCGAGACUCAGUGAAAUUGAACUCGCUGUGAAGAUGCAGUGUACCCGCGGCAAGACGGAAAGACCCCGUGAACCUUUACUAUAGCUUGACACUGAACAUUGAGCCUUGAUGUGUAGGAUAGGUGGGAGGCUUUGAAGCGUGGACGCCAGUCUGCGUGGAGCCAACCUUGAAAUACCACCCUUUAAUGUUUGAUGUUCUAACGUUGGCCCCUUACCGGGGUUGCGGACAGUGUCUGGUGGGUAGUUUGACUGGGGCGGUCUCCUCCCAAAGCGUAACGGAGGAGCACGAAGGUUAGCUAAUCCUGGUCGGACAUCAGGAGGUUAGUGCAAUGGCAUAAGCUAGCUUGACUGCGAGCGUGACGGCGCGAGCAGGUGCGAAAGCAGGUCAUAGUGAUCCGGUGGUUCUGAAUGGAAGGGCCAUCGCUCAACGGAUAAAAGGUACUCCGGGGAUAACAGGCUGAUACCGCCCAAGAGUUCAUAUCGACGGCGGUGUUUGGCACCUCGAUGUCGGCUCAUCACAUCCUGGGGCUGAAGUAGGUCCCAAGGGUAUGGCUGUUCGCCAUUUAAAGUGGUACGCGAGCUGGGUUUAGAACGUCGUGAGACAGUUCGGUCCCUAUCUGCCGUGGGCGCUGGAGAAUUGAGGGGGGCUGCUCCUAGUACGAGAGGACCGGAGUGGACGCAUCACUGGUGUUCGGGUUGUCAUGCCAAUGGCACUGCCCGGUAGCUAAAUGCGGAAGAGAUAAGUGCUGAAAGCAUCUAAGCACGAAACUUGCCCCGAGAUGAGUUCUCCCUGAGACUUUAAGUCUCCUGAAGGAACGUUAAAGACGAUGACGUUGAUAGGCCGGGUGUGUAAGCGCAGCGAUGCGUUGAGCUAACCGGUACUAAUGAACCGUGAGGCUUAACCUUACAACGCCGAAG